rnacentral:rRNA from 1 species
GCUCAGUAACACGUGGAUAAUCUACCCUUAGGACCGGGAUAACCCUGGGAAACUGGGGAUAAUACUGGAUAGGCAAUUAUUCCUGUAAUGGUUUUUUGUUUAAAUGUUUUUUCGCCUAAGGAUGAGUCUGCGGCCGAUUAGGUAGUUGGUUAGGUAAUGGCUUACCAAGCCGUUGAUCGGUACGGGUUGUGAGAGCAAGAGCCCGGAGAUGGAACCUGAGACAAGGUUCCAGGCCCUACGGGGUGCAGCAGGCGCGAAACCUCCGCAAUGUGAGAAAUCGCGACGGGGGGAUCCCAAGUGCCAUUCUUAACGGGAUGGCUUUUCAUUAGUGUAAAGAGCUUUUGGAAUAAGAGCUGGGCAAGACCGGUGCCAGCCGCCGCGGUAACACCGGCAGCUCUAGUGGUAACAAUUUUUAUUGGGCCUAAAGCGUCCGUAGCCGGUUUAAUAAGUCACUGGUGAAAUCCUGUAGCUUAACUGUGGGAAUUGCUGGUGAUACUGUUGAACUUGAGGUCGGGAGAGGUUAGCGGUACUCCCAGGGUAGAGGUGAAAUUCUGUAAUCCUGGGAGGACCACCUGUGGCGAAGGCGGCUAACUGGAACGAACCUGACGGUGAGGGACGAAAGCUAGGGGCGCGAACCGGAUUAGAUACCCGGGUAGUCCUAGCCGUAAACGAUGCGGACUUGGUGUUGGGAUGGCUUUGAGCCGCUCCGGUGCCGAAGGGAAGCUGUUAAGUCCGCCGCCUGGGAAGUACGGUCGCAAGACUGAACUUAAAGGAAUUGGCGGGGGAGCAC